ensembl:rRNA 5S_rRNA 5S ribosomal RNA
GUCUACGGCCAUACCACCCUGAACGCGCCGGAUCUCGGAAGCUAAGCAGGCUCUGACCUGGUUGGUACUUGGAUGGGAGACCGCCUGGGAAUACUGGGUGCUGUAGACU